AAUCUAUCAAGUAUAUCCAUGAUCUUGAUUCCUACACACUUUAUAAUCAUGUUGUCUCUGGACAAGGUCGUAUCUGUCAACUGUCAGGUUUAACUACCGGAAUAGUGCCAGGAAUGAAAACAGUAAUCUGGAAUGGAGAGCAUUGCUUUCUCACACUCGCUAAUUUAUGGGCAAAUUUAGUUAGCAGUGAACCUCCAAAUUUGCCGUGCAUAAAUGUUGGCUGAUGAGAAUGCUGGGACAAGUUGGAUGUCAUUUUAGCAGCUAGUUACCUGUCAGAGGCACCAUCUAAUCAAAUUAAACCAUUUGUGACAAGCCUUGUGGAGCAUAAACCAUCUGUGAUGAGGCUUCUGGGUAUAAACCACUGGCUGCAGCACUUCAAGGAUCGCACUCGGGGAUGUCAGUAUUACAGUACGAAAACUGAAGAUGUAAAUGGGCGAAUUGGAGCUUGGAGUGACCGGGUGAGGAAUCCAGGUCAACACUCUUCUUUUUUUUUUCUUUCCAAAUUUACUGGUUGCCAUUCAUUACAAGAGAUAUGCGCC
rnacentral:misc_RNA from 1 species